GCCGGGUUGGCGGAACGGCAGACGCUGAUGUCUCAAACACAUCUGCCCGAAAGGGCGUGCGGGUUCGAAUCCCGCACCCGGCACAA
rnacentral:tRNA from 1 species